rnacentral:rRNA from 1 species
GACGAACGCUGGCGGCGUGCUUAACACAUGCAAGUCGAGCGGUAAGGCCCUUUCGGGGGUACACGAGCGGCGAACGGGUGAGUAACACGUGGGUGACCUGCCCUCAGCUCUGGGAUAAGCCUGGGAAACCGGGACUAAUACUGGAUAUGACUCCAUGACGCAUGUUGUGGGGUGGAAAGCCUUGUGCGGCUGAGGAUGGGCCCGCGGCCUAUCAGCUUGUUGGUGGGGUGAUGGCCUACCAAGGCGACGACGGGUAGCCGGCCUGAGAGGGCGACCGGCCACACUGGGACUGAGACACGGCCCAGACUCCUACGGGAGGCAGCAGUGGGGAAUCUUGCGCAAUGGGCGAAAGCCUGACGCAGCGACGCCGCGUGAGGGAUGACGGCCU